rnacentral:rRNA from 1 species
UAGGCGUAAAUGAUGCGAGUUAAGUGUGGGGGCAUCUACGAGAUGGCCCUGUGCUGUAGGGUAGCCGUUAAACUCGCUGCCUGGGGAGUACGGUCGCAGGGCUGAAACUUAAAGGAAUUGGCGGGGGGAGCACCACAAGAGGUGGAGGCUGCGGUUCAAUUGGACUCAACGCCGGAAACUCAUCGGGAGCGACAGCAGUAUGAUUGCCAGGUUGAUGACCUUGCUUGACAAGCUGAGAGGAGGUGCAUGGCGUAGUCGUGU